rnacentral:rRNA from 1 species
GUCUAUGGCCAUACCACCCUGAAUGUGCCCAAUCGUGUCUAUCUUGGCAGCUAAGCAGUCAGGCCUGGUUAGUACUUGGAUGGGAGAAUGGACAGCAGCAAAGCUAGAAGGCAAGGAUC